UACGGAGGGAGCUAGCGUUAUUCGGAAUUACUGGGCGUAAAGCGCACGUAGGCGGCUUUGUAAGUAAGAGGUGAAAGCCUGGAGCUCAACUCCAGAACUGCCUUUUAGACUGCAUUGCUUGAAUCCAGGAGAGGUGAGUGGAAUUCCGAGUGUAGAGGUGAAAUUCGUAGAUAUUCGGAAGAACACCAGUGGCGAAGGCGGCUCACUGGACUGGUAUUGACGCUGAGGUGCGAAAGCGUGGGGAGCAAACAGG
rnacentral:rRNA from 1 species